GACGAACGCUGACGGCGUGCUUAACACAUGCAAGUCGAGCGGAAAGGCCCUUCGGGGUCCUCGAGCGGCGAACGGGUGAGUAACACGUGAGUAACCUGCCCCAGACUUUGGGAUAACCCUCGGAAACGGGGGCUAAUACCGGAUACGACACAGCUUCGCAUGGGGUCUGUGUGGAAAGUUUUUCGGUUUGGGAUGGGCUCGCGGCCUAUCAGCUUGUUGGUGGGGUGAUGGCCUACCAAGGCGACGACGGGUAGCCGGCCUGAGAGGGCGACCGGCCACACUGGGACUGAGACACGGCCCAGACUCCUACGGGAGGCAGCAGUGGGGAAUAUUGCACAAUGGGCGGAAGCCUGAUGCAGCGACGCCGCGUGAGGGAUGACGGCCUUCGGGUUGUAAACCUCUUUCAGCAGGGACGAAGCGUAAGUGACGGUACCUGCAGAAGAAGCGCCGGCCAACUACGUG
rnacentral:rRNA from 1 species